GUGUGUGCUCUUAUGGUCGUGCCUGGCUCCCUGUAUGCCACAAGUAUAUACCGAUCUCGUUACGAAAUCUGUGGCUAGUGGCGUACAGAGUAGUCAAGCAUGACCAAAGCUUUUC
rnacentral:pre_miRNA from 1 species